CGAGUUGUUCACCUUAGACCUGGAAGACCUUGUACUCAUCUACAGCCCACUUCUGUUACAGAGUGCCAGACCGAGUGUGAUUUUGCGGACAUUCUGCUUCCGGAAGACAGGCAGCCGAGGUGCUCAACACCACAGCCACCACCAGAAUCGGAACCCUCGCUGACUUUUCUGGACGAUCCAAUGGACGCUACUUAUGAACCAAGUUACGAGAACCUGGAACCUGUUCCCGUCGCACCAUGUCCUCGAAAGAUCAUCGUGUGCGAAGAAAACCUGCUGGCUCUUGCAAAGUUUUGCAGAAAAUGCCACCUUCCUGCAGAGUCAUCACUACAGGUAUUUGGCUCACUUGCUGUGGUGACGUCAACAUGCCAAGAUGGCCAUAUUUUCAGCUGGC
rnacentral:lncRNA from 1 species